UAAUUAGUAUCAAAAGUACCAGGAUUAUAAUUUUAUACGCCAGACGCGCGUUUCGUCUACAUAAGACUCAUCAGUGACGCUCAGAUCAAAAUAGUUAAAAAGCCAAACAAAACAAAGUUGAAGAGCAUUGAGGACCCAAAAUUCCAAAAAGUUGUGCCAAAUACGGCUAAGGUAAUCUACUCCUGGGGUAAGAAAAUCCUUAAGUUUUUUGAAUAAUUCAAAGUUUUGUAAACAGAAAAUUUAUAAAAAUGACCAUAUAAUUGAUAUUCAUGUCAACACCGAAGUGCUGACUACUGGGCUGGUGAUACCCUCGGGGACGAAACGUCCACCAGCAGUGGCAUCGACCCAGUGGUGUAAAUAGUAUCAAAAGUAC
rnacentral:lncRNA from 1 species